AAAAGGCAAGGUUGAUGAAUCAAUUAGAUGUGUGAUAUUAGAAGUCCUUUCCGAACUCAAAUUUUGAGGCAUAUUGAUAUAUCUGACUUGUUAAUU